UCUACAUUUUGCCAAAAGGUGAAGUGCAUGUAUUGAGGAAGAAGACUAUUCAACAGUAGGUUUUAUAGAUGGGCAUUUAAUUAGUUUUUUGUAAAGUUGAAUACCCAACCCAAUUUACAUUCAUUAUUCAUGACAUUAUUGUUAACAGGUUAAACCCAAAACAAAAAAAACACAACAAAGGAAUGGUGGACCACAAGUAUACCAUUUUUUAUUAAAAUACAUACAAUAAGUGCAAAACUUAACUGGUAUUUCUAGACAAUAUAAAAACGGUUUGGAAUGUGAUACAAUAUAUUUUAACAUUUACGUACUGUCAAACAAAACCAAAGCGAGUUGGAUACUUGAGAUAACACCAACAGUGUAGUAUCUCAAAUAAAAUAAUAAUGUACCCUGAUCUGUUUAGUCCUGUAAAGUCAAACUAAUUCUUUUAAAUAAAAACAAAGCAUGUGUACAUGUUCAUAAGAUAAGAAGUAUUCUGCAGAAACAGUGCCAUGAACAUUACUUUCACCUCUUUAUGAAGUAAAACCCCCAACCCAAAUAAAAAUUAGAUGUCGUCUGCACUUACCAUUUGGACUAAUCAACUAAUCAUUUAUUCACUUAGCAGAAUUAAAGCUUUUAGUUAGAUAAAAGGUCUGUGGCAACUAAGACCUCACAAUAAAAUCUGACUACAAAUUCCAACUUAAGACUAUCGAUUACAGUUUUGUUGAACUCAAUUGUGAUCGGUCAGUGACUGUAUUCUAUGCUUUAUUAUUUCUGUAUAACACACCAUUGUUACCAACCAUAAAAUCUAACACUUAAAUUUAGCAGAAGCAAUAAAAUGGUUUCCAGUCAAUCAUUUUUAUAUCAAUGUUUUUGGUAAUUAUUGAAUAUCUUGAGUAAACAACCAUGUAAUAAGCAGUUCAGUGAGAUGAUCAUGAUCCCUUCAGGGAGAUAAGGACUGACAUUAAUGUGUUGCAUUUUAUUUCUCAAUAAUAAAAGGCUCCAAGAAGAUGUUUAAGUAUUAGUGUUAGCAGAACGUAGCUCUGAUAAUGGCAGAUUGUUAAUAUUGCACUUAUCACCUGGAAUUGCUGAACAUGAGGGAAAAUAAUUACUCAAAGCUUAAAACUGCAAUUAGAAUCAGCUACAUUUUUGAUGUUUCAGUCCUAAAUCUAUUUAUUCAUUAAGUGAUUUGAGUGUUUAGUACUUUGAUAUAGAUGACCAGUUCAACAGGUAUUUAAUUUAAUUCCAUCAGCGUUUUAGCCAAUUCCUCUUUCUACCUCUAUUUGCUGUUCAUUAUGCCUGAAUUACCUUGAAACCUUAAAAUUAAAAAACUUAAAAUUUAAGACAUUUUCAGGACACAAAUAGACAACUUACCUCUUGAUUGUUCAGUAACACACAAGCCAGUUCAUAACAGGAGUACGGCUGAACGUAAGAGUUGCUCAGGCGGCCCACCUCAUCCCUUGCAGCCAGUUGGAAAUACUGGAAAAAAAAAAAAUCAGUGCAAUGUGACACGAUAGACCACCCAUAUUCCAAAACUCCAAAUAUUGUAUUACUAGUAGGACAUGAAAGUACCUGAAUGGCAUCUUUGGUGUUAUGAAGACAUCUGUUUAUGGCACCGAGAAGCAGAUUCUUUAAGCCUGUAGAUGAUGCAUCUUCAAUUCCCUGUAAAACUAAGCA